rnacentral:lncRNA from 1 species
GCCCCCUGUUAAGAGCGUGGCCUAAAGCAAGAUCCAGAUUCAUCUUGGCCAGGAGGCAGCCAAGUGCCCAGCACCAUUUGUGGAGGAGCCCAUCCGGCACAGUCUUGGCUCCCUGCACAAACAGCUGGCCACAGAAGCGAGCCUUUCCUCCUGGACUCUCAGAUCCACUCCACGGAGUAUGUCCUUCCUUAUACCAGGACCAGAGUUGCUUCGCAGGGACUUCUGACGUUGGGAGCGUGAGAUCAUUGGCUUCAUGUUCCCUCGGGGGGUUCCUUGGCUGUCGUGGGUUCCUCUGGGUCCCCAUGAAUCACAGGGCCACUUGGCCACCCUCGUCCUUGAUGGACAUGAACCUGAAGGCCAGAUUUUAUCCGUGGCUCCUUCAGACCUCAUGCCCGUUAGUGGGAGCCGAGUUCUGAGCCUCACGAGAUCCUUUUGAACCUCAGCAAACCCAACCACCCGCACACGGAUGAUCCCCUUGGUCCUGUGACCCGGCUCUGUGUGACCAGGCCCCCAGGUGUGUGGCGGAAACACUCAGAUGGAAAGGACGCACCAGUGGCAGGAGGGACGGUACCCAAUGCCCAGGCCACCGCGGCAUGAGCAUCACCUGUCUAGUCACCAAGAGCAGGGACCAGGUGUCCCCCAGAAGCCCACAGGUGACAGGAGGAAAGAAGGUCCAUAGAGGAGCACUAGUUAAGGCCUUCAGCCUGUCAGCACUGAGCCACCUGAGUGGACCUGGGUCACCUGGUGGUGACUGCGGCCAGGCAGGGUGGCUGGGGGAGGUGGUCAUGGUGGCAUGCCCUUGGGGUACAUAUAGAGACCCUAAUGAGCCAACCUUUGUCUCCUGCUUCUUUCCUCCUCUAUGUUCUCCGCCAUGAUGUCGUGCCCAGCCUGUGGCCAGAGCAGUGGAGUUGGCCUCUGUGGACUGAGACCUUGGGGACCUUGGGGACCGUGAGCCCCAGAUAAACUUGCCCUUCUCUAAAAUCAUUCUCAUCCCAGCAGCGAAGCUGACUGCGGCAUGGCUCAGAAUGCCCACGGGCCUCCCUCUACCCAGGCCCAGCCCGGCCUGACCCCUCCUUCUCGGGGGACGAGGGGGAAUUCCACGUUCCUAGGUGGCAUUGCAUGUGGGACACAGGACCUGGGCAGUGGCACCUCUAGAAAGCCAUCCAGUGCGGUGGCGGGGACAGCCAGCAUUCAGCAGCCAGGAGGCGCCGUGGUCUGCGAGGUGACCACUGAGGGCUCUCCUGGUCAGGUGAGGGGCAGCCUGGGCCCAUGGGGCAGGUUCCCUGGGCCGCCCAGGGGCGA